CCGAGCGAGGGCCUCCGGGUCCGACCUCCAACCCCAUGUCAUUCGACCCUGUUGCCUCGGGGGCGACCCGGCCUUCGGGCGUCGGGGCCCCCGGUGGACCACUCAACUCUGCAUCAUUGCGUCCGAGUCACAUAUUGAAUCAAUCA
rnacentral:misc_RNA from 1 species